rnacentral:rRNA from 1 species
AUUGAACGCUGGCGGCAUGCCUUACACAUGCAAGUCGAACGGUAACAGGUCUUCGGAUGCUGACGAGUGGCGAACGGGUGAGUAAUGCAUCGGAACGUGCCCAGUUGUGGGGGAUAACUGCUCGAAAGAGCAGCUAAUACCGCAUACGACCUGAGGGUGAAAGCGGGGGAUCGCAAGACCUCGCGCAAUUGGAGCGGCCGAUGUCAGAUUAGGUAGUUGGUGGGGUAAAGGCCCACCAAGCCGACGAUCUGUAGUUGGUCUGAGAGGACGACCAGCCACACUGGGACUGAGACACGGCCCAGACUCCUACGGGAGGCAGCAGUGGGGAAUAUUGCGCAAUGGGCGAAAGCCUGACGCAGCGACGCCGCGUGGGGGAUGACGGCCUUCGGGUUGUAAACCUCUUUCAGCAGGGACGAAGCCGCUUGCGCGGUGACGGUACCUGCAGAAGAAGCACCGGCCAACUACGUGCCAGCCGCCGCGGUAAAAC